rnacentral:rRNA from 1 species
UUGGCUGGCGAGUGGCGGACGGGUGAGUAAAACGUAGGAAUCUGCCUUAGAGCGGGGGAUAACUCGGGGAAACUCGAGCUAAGACCGCAUACCCUCUAUGGAGGAAAUAAGCCCUUUACUGGGUUUAGCUUUAAGAUGAGCCUACGACGGAUUAGCUAGUUGGUGGGGUAAAGGCCUACCAAGGCGAUGAUCCGUAGCUGGUCUGAGAGGGCGACCGGCCACACUGGGACUGAGACACGGCCCAG